AACGAACGCUGGCGGCAUGCCUAACACAUGCAAGUCGAACGAGGCCUUCGGGCUUAGUGGCGCACGGGUGCGUAACGCGUGGGAAUCUGCCCUUUGGUUCGGAAUAACAGUUGGAAACGACUGCUAAUACCGGAUGAUGACGAAAGUCCAAAGAUUUAUCGCCAGAGGAUGAGCCCGCGUAGGAUUAGCUAGUUGGUGUGGUAAAGGCGCACCAAGGCGACGAUCCUUAGCUGGUCUGAGAGGAUGAUCAGCCACACUGGGACUGAGACACGGCCCAGACUCCUACGGGAGGCAGCAGUGGGGAAUAUUGGACAAUGGGCGAAAGCCUGAUCCAGCAAUGCCGCGGGAGUGAUGAAGGCCCUAGGGUUGUAAAGCUCUUUUACCCGGGAUGAUAAUGACAGUACCGGGAGAAUAAGCCCCGGCUAACUCCGUGCCAGCAGCCGCGGUAA
rnacentral:rRNA from 1 species